CAGUCGCCGCGGUAAUACGUAGGGUGCAAGCGUUAAUCGGAAUUACUGGGCGUAAAGCGUGCGCAGGCGGUUUGUUAAGACAGAUGUGAAAUCCCCGGGCUCAACCUGGGAACUGCAUUUGUGACUGGCAGGCUAGAGUAUGGCAGAGGGGGGUGGAAUUCCGCGUGUAGCAGUGAAAUGCGUAGAUAUGCGGAGGAACACCGAUGGCGAAGGCAGCCCCCUGGGCCAAUACUGACGCUCAUGCACGAAAGCGUGGGGAGCAAACAGGAUUAGAUACCCCAGUAGUCCCUGUCUCUUAUAC
rnacentral:rRNA from 1 species